rnacentral:rRNA from 1 species
CGUCACUCCUACGGGAGGCAGCAGUGGGGAAUUUUGGACAAUGGGCGAAAGCCUGAUCCAGCAAUGCCGCGUGAGUGAAGAAGGCCUUCGGGUUGUAAAGCUCUUUUGUCAGGGAAGAAACGGUGAAAGCUAAUAUCUUUUGCUAAUGACGGUACCUGAAGAAUAAGCACCGGCUAACUACGUGCCAGCAGCCGCGGUAAUACGUAGGGUGCAAGCGUUAAUCGGAAUUACUGGGCGUAAAGCGUGCGCAGGCGGUUUUGUAAGUCUGAUGUGAAAUCCCCGGGCUCAACCUGGGAAUUGCAUUGGAGACUGCAAGGCUAGAAUCUGGCAGAGGGGGGUAGAAUUCCACGUGUAGUAGUGAAAUGCGUAGAUAUGUGGAGGAACACCGAUGGCGAAGGCAGCCCCCUGGGUCAAGAUUGACGCUCAUGCACGAAAGCGUGGGGAGCAAACAGGAUUAGAAACCCCUGUAGUCCCAUG